CCGGCAGCAUUCAGGAGCUGCUGCAAGAGUUCCUGCAGCAGCAGCAACAGAUGGAGAUGCAGUGGUUCGACAUGAUGGAGCGGAGGGCGCAGGAGCGGCGGAUGUUCGAGCAGGAGUGGCGGCAGUCGAUGGAGAAGCUGGAGAGGGAGCGGCUGAUGCUGGAGCAGGCUUGGAGGGAGAGAGAGGAGCAGAGGAGGAUGAGGGAGGAGAGCCGGGCAGAAAAGAGGGAUGCACUGCUGACCACGCUGCUGAAUAAGUUCAUUGAAGAUGAUCUCUGAUUGGCCCCUUCUUCUUCUUCUUCUUCGUGUCUGUUGCUUGUUCCUUGUUCUUUAUUUACUAUGGUGGGUUAGGUAGAUUUUUGUUCUUCUUGUAAUACUUAUAAAAGGGGAUUAUAUUUGGUGGCGCUGUUGUUGACUAGAAACAGGCUAAUCUUAUAGGUGACCCUCCACAUCAGU
rnacentral:lncRNA from 1 species